GACUGAUUCAGGGUCUCUCAUGAUGCUGCAGCCAAGGUUUCUAUUACAUGAAGUAAAGCAUCUGUAACCUAGAAAUGAUGGGUAACGUUCAAAGCUGAUAUCCCAGAUGAUUCUGCUAUGACAGACUUCCCCUGCCUAUUGAAAUCUUAAGGUUGUCUAACCCCAAAAUUCUAGACUAUGAAAAGUUGUAUUGUAAUUUUAAAUUCAGGCUACAGAAAUAAAAACAAACAAUCUUUAGGAAGCUAAACUAAGGUAUAACCAUUUUCCAAAAUUCCCGAUUUCAUCUAUUUUAGAAAAAGACCACUCCUGGGAGAAACACAAGUUACAUGGUAUUGCUCUUCUCACAUGAACCAUCUCCACAACCAACGUGCCCUGAAUCCCAGUGCUUGGCCAACCCCAUCACUAGUAAUCAACCAUCAUCCCAAGAAGCGAACAUAAUCAGAAGCUAAAUCAAAUAAAUAUG
ensembl:lncRNA novel transcript